rnacentral:ribozyme from 1 species
AUUGCUCGAAACCUUGCUUACCUAUCUGUGGUGAGUAGUAGGCAACGAUCUUAUGGUCGGCUAGAAUGCAAAG